AAAGAAUUAGUUAAAAAUAUAACAUAAAUAUGUCAAAUUUAUAUUAUUACUAAUGUAAUAUUCUUUU
rnacentral:tRNA from 1 species